rnacentral:rRNA from 1 species
AGAGUUUGAUCCUGGCUCAGGAUGAACGCUAGCGGCAGGCCUAACACAUGCAAGUCGAGGGGUAAUCCCGCUUUCGGGCGGGAACGACCGGCGCACGGGUGAGUAACGCGUAUGCAACCUACCUUUAACAGGGGGAUAGCCCGAAGAAAUUCUGAUUAAUACCCCAUAAUACUAUGAAUAAGCAUUUAUUUAUAUUAAAAACUCCGGUGGUUAAAGAUGGGCAUGCGUAACAUUAGUUAGUUGGUGAGGUAACGGCUCACCAAGACUACGAUGUUUAGGGGGCCUGAGACGGUGGUCCCCCACACUGGUACUGAGACACAGACCAGACUCCUACGGGAGGCAGCAGUGAGGAAUAUUGCGCAAUGGAGGCAACUCUGACGCAGCCAUGCCGCGUGCAGGAUGACGGCCCUACGGGUUGUAAACUGCUUUUAUACAGGAAGAAUUUUCCGCACGUGUGCGGGAUUGACGGUACUGUACGAAUAAGCACCGGCUAACUCCGUGCCAGCAGCCGCGGUAAUACGGAGGGUGCAAGCGUUAUCCGGAUUUAUUGGGUUUAAAGGGUGCGUAGGCGGGAUAAUAAGUCAGUGGUGAAAUACUGCAGCUCAACUGUAGAACUGCCAUUGAUACUGUUAUUCUUGAGUUCGAUUGAGGUAGGCGGAAUGUGUAAUGUAGCGGUGAAAUGCUUAGAUAUUACACAGAACACCGAUUGCGUAGGCAGCUUACUAAGUCGACACUGACGCUGAGGCACGAAAGCGUGGGGAGCGAACAGGAUUAGAUACCCUGGUAGUCCACGCUGUAAACUAUGAUCACUAGCUGUUGGCGAUACAUCGAUCAGCGGCAAAGCGAAAGCAUUAAGUGAUCCACCUGGGGAGUACGGUCGCAAGAUUGAAACUCAAAGGAAUUGACGGGGGCCCGCACAAGCGGUGGAACAUGUGGUUUAAUUCGAUGAUACGCGAGGAACCUUACCUGGGCUUAAAUGCAGAUUGACGUUUCGGGAAACCGGAAUUCUCUUCGGAGCGAUUUGCAAGGUGCUGCAUGGUUGUCGUCAGCUCGUGCCGUGAGGUGUCGGGUUAAGUCCCAUAACGAGCGCAACCCCUAUUGUUAGUUGCCAGCGGAUAAUGCCGGGGACUCUAACGAAACUGCCGGUGUAAACCGAGAGGAAGGUGGGGAUGACGUCAAAUCAGCACGGCCCUUAUGUCCAGGGCUACACACGUGUUACAAUGGUCGGUACAGAGGGCAGCUACCUGGUGACAGGAUGCUAAUCUCGAAAGCCGGUCUUAGUUCGGAUCGAAGUCGGCAACUCGACUUCGUGAAGCUGGAAUCGCUAGUAAUCGCGUAUCAGCAACGACGCGGUGAAUACGUUCCCGGGCCUUGUACACACCGCCCGUCAAGCCAUGGAAGCUGGGGUACCUGAAGUCUGUAACCGCAAGGAGCGGCCUAGGGUAAAACUAGUGACUGGGGCUAAGUCGAACAAGGUA